rnacentral:rRNA from 1 species
AUACGAAGGUCCCGAGCGUUAUUCGGAAUCACUGGGCGUAAAGAGUAUGUAGGCGGUUUGGUAAGUCAGGUGUGAAAUCCCGGAGCUCAACUUCGGAACUGCAUCCGAUACUGCCAGACUAGAGUAAUGGAGAGGCAGGUGGAAUUCUCGGUGUAGCAGUGAAAUGCGUGGAUAUCGAGAGGAAGACCAAUGGCGAAGGCAGCCUGCUGGACAUUUACUGACGCUGAGAUACGAAGGCCAGGGGAGCGAAAGGGAUUAGAAACCCCGGUAGUCC